rnacentral:rRNA from 1 species
UACAGAGGUCCCAAGCGUUGUUCGGAUUCACUGGGCGUAAAGGGUGCGUAGGCGGUCGGGUAAGUCUGAUGUGAAAUCGUCACAGCCUUAACUGUGAAACUGCAUUGGAUACUAUCCGGCUCGAGGAAUGGAGGGAGACUGGAAUACUUGGUGUAGCAGUGAAAUGCGUAGAUAUCAAGUGGAACACCAGUGGCGAAGGCGAGUCUCUGGACAUUUCCUGACGCUGAGGCACGAAAGCCAGGGAGCAAACGGG